rnacentral:rRNA from 1 species
AUGCAGACUCUUACCGUGCUCUUCUUCCUCACCCUAGCCAUGCUCCCGGGCCUCAUAGCCAGCACCUCGUCUGUCAUCAACACAACAUGCUCAAAGAUUCCUGAGAUAUCCUACCACUAUUGUGUUGGCGUGCUCUCGGCCGAACCAACAGGUGCCUCCGCCAUAGAUACGCGUGGGCUGGCCGUCGCCGCUGCCAACCUAACCGUUCACAACGUGACGUCCACGUUGCAUAUGAUGGGCGACUUAGUGUUGGAGCUCAACGCUUGCAUCGGUUAUUAUAAGCAUAUGGUUGAUUUGAUAGUGGCCGCCGUUGAUGACUUGCACAAAGGACGAGAUGCUGAACUGAUAUACGAAAAUUUAUAUCAGGCCUCAUAUACGCCCUUAGAUUGUGAUAUUGCCUUGUUUGAGGGAGCCGAGAAGAAUCCCAUGCAGGAAGAGAACUCAGAAAAUCAAGCUUUGGCCCGCAUAGCGAGUGGCAUCGCGUUUCUCAUGUGGCAUGGACGUUCUUAA